rnacentral:lncRNA from 1 species
GCCCGAAGAAGCUGGUCCUUAGCCUGCGCUGCGGAGCAACCUUUCAGUGGCCAGCUGGAGCCUGGGCACCGUUCUUCAAAUAAUGGCUUUUAAUUCUCAGACGAGAACGUUUAGGAUUACAAAAGAAACCGGUUCUCUUCACAUCCUUAUCCUUGUCAUGUAGCAUUCCGCUUGAAAUUGGAAGCCGUUCAAUGUCAGAGAGAAACCAUAUUUAUGAAAUGAAAGAGGCUUCUCAGAUGACUGCAAACCAGCCUUCCUUACUGGUUUUAUCACUGGUAAUGUUAUAAAGACAGUUGUCCAGUUUCAUGAAUCUUGUAGGUUUUUGUUUGUUUAUUUGUUUGCUUUUGAUGUUGUUGUUGUUGCUGUUGUUUUCCAACUUCAGUAUUGUAGAAAAAUAUGCUGCCCCAGAAGAGAUGAUUGGACACUCUCCAGCGUGGUGUUGGACUUUGUCAUCUCUUGCACAGCCAUCUCCAGACCUUAGUGUUUACCUCACGUUAGUUUUUUAUAUUCUGCAAAGACAAAACCAAAAUAAUCCAAAUUUGACACAAAUACCUGGGAUACAUCUUAUUUGAGAUGUUUAACAAAUGUCUGGAUCAUCUUUUCUUACAUUGGAUUAUAACGCAGGAAACACUGUGAAGUAAGUAAAGUUGGAAUUCCCAAGUCAAAGACCAUUUGAAUAUUUACAAGUAGAUUUGAGGCAGGAAUAAUACAGGGUGGCCGCAGGGUAACAAAUUCUAGGCAGCAGAUUUACAUGACUUGAGGCUAUGGGCUGAUAAGACGCUGAAAAACCAGGGUGUGGACCAAGCUGGCUAAGACUGACUGGACCCAAUGUGGUGCUGGAUUUGAUGUAGGUUUUACCGAGGCCCUCAUUAUAUGCUCAUUAACAUACUAAAUCACACACCCACCAGUGCCAUGACAGUUCUGAGACCAAUAUGUGAUGUAAAAAUGGAUGGCACCACAGUUCCGAGAAAUCUCCACCUUUACCCAGGAAUUUUCAUGACUAUUCCACUCCUUGGUUAGAGAAACCAAUCAAGAUGAAACCCCAGAACCCAUUGUUCUCUGUCGGGUAUGCCCGAACUCCCCUUUCUUGAGUGUGUACUUUUUGCUUUGCAAUAAAUCUCUUCUUUCACUGUUUGCUGACUCAUCCUUGACUUUGUUCUUGAGAUGGUGUCAAGAGCCUGGACACCACAGCUGGGGUCGAGAUCCCACUAGUGUCCGGGGACUUUCCCCAGGCCACCAGUAUCAGAUUCUA